CGGCAACAACGAUGCGACGACGGAGUACGAGCUGGAACGGUUCGACCUGGAAAAAACAACAAUAUUGGAUCAACAUAGAAGACAGUCAGCCCUACCAAUCCUAGAAGUAUGUAGCAUCAUAAACACUCCCCGUACAGUAAACAAGAGAUCUGACAUUGACAGUUUAAGUUCAAUGUAUGUAGGAAUCUUACACACACUCAAAAAUCAACAGUCCAACUCAAGAAACACCACCACACACCAAACACACGAAUAGCUAAAAGAUUAGAUCCACACCAGUUACCUCCACUUAUUUCCCACAAUUUGUCCAAACAAUAUCCACCAUCGUUACAUGAACAAAAUGACCGUUGGUUGGAUAGUGAAGGUGUUUCCGAAUUCAGAUAUUUUUAAAAAACGUUUUUUUGUUGUUCAGAGAGUAUGUCAAGUGGUAGAAAAUGUGUAAAAAUGUGUAAAAGUCAUAUUAUAAUUUUUGUAGGAUUUUUGCCAACACUUUUUUGGAAAAUUUAGACGGAUCAUGCUAAAACCGAGCCCACAAAACGAGAACGAUUGCAAGUUCUGUGAGGUCUAAUGUUAUUUAGCUUAUUAUAAUUAGCUUAUGAUGUCUCGUUUUAAUUGUAGAAUUCCCUGAAGAAGGUGUAAUAAACACCGAAACGUCGGAUGAAGAACGAUA